rnacentral:tRNA from 1 species
CGCUUGAGGGUCAAAAGCGGCAACGGCUAUUGAGAACAAAUGAUUUUCCGGCUCCACGGCUGAAGCACGGGUUCGAUUCCCGUAGGGGUCACCA